rnacentral:rRNA from 1 species
UACGGGGGAUGCAAGCGUUAUCCGGAUUUAUUGGGUUUAAAGGGUGCGUAGGCUGUGAGGUAAGUCAGCGGUGAAAUGCCCCCGCUCAACGGGGUGAAGUGCCAUUGAUACUGCCUUGCUGGAAUGCGGAUGCCGUGGGAGGAAUGUGUGGUGUAGCGGUGAAAUGCAUAGAUAUCGAGAGGAACACUCGUGGCGAAGGCGGGUUCCUGGACAUUAACUGACGCUGAGGCACGAAGGCCAGGGGAGCGAAAGGG